rnacentral:rRNA from 1 species
GAUGAACGCUAGCGGCAGGCUUAACACAUGCAAGUCGAGGGGCAGCAUAAUGAAGUAGCAAUACGGAAUUGAUGGCGACCGGCGCACGGGUGCGUAACGCGUAUGUAACCUACCCUUAACAGGGGGAUAACACUGAGAAAUUGGUACUAAUACCCCAUAAUACCUUAGAGGGCAUCCUCUGAGGUUGAAAGUUCCGGCGGUUAAGGAUGGACAUGCGUUGUAUUAGCUAGUUGGUGAGGUAACGGCUCACCAAGGCGACGAUACAUAGGGGGACUGAGAGGUUAACCCCCCACAUUGGUACUGAGACACGGACCAAACUCCUACGGGAGGCAGCAGUGAGGAAUAUUGGUCAAUGGACGCAAGUCUGAACCAGCCAUGCCGCGUGCAGGAUGACGGCUCUAUGAGUUGUAAACUGCUUUUGUAUAAGGGUAAACCCAGGUACGUGUACCUGGCUGAAAGUACUAUACGAAUAAGGAUCGGCUAACUCCGUGCCAGCAGCCGCGGU